rnacentral:rRNA from 1 species
UACGUAGGGGGCAAGCGUUGUCCGGAAUCAUUGGGCGUAAAGCGCGUGUAGGCGGUCCGGUAAGUCCGCUGUGAAAGUCCAGGGCUCAACCCUGGGAUGCCGGUGGAUACUGUCGGGCUAGAGUACGGAAGAGGCGAGUGGAAUUCCCGGUGUAGCGGUGAAAUGCGCAGAUAUCGGGAGGAACCCCAAUUGCGAAGGCAGCUCGCUGGGACGUUACUGACGCUGAGACGCGAAAGCGUGGGGAGCAAACAGG